rnacentral:rRNA from 1 species
CCAGCAGCAGUUGGAGUGUUGACCCGCAAAGUCUAGCGGUGGUGUUCGGUACCGACGCACUAGGCGCGCGGUGCCCGGGGGGAAAGGAAGGAGGGGAUCGGCAUCCUUCGAAGGAGGUGCGGGGCGUGGAAUGAAGGGGCGGAGGGGCGUGGAAAUACCGGUAGUUCCGGCUCUAGAAGCGGGCGGCCUUUAAACCAUUGCCUGCCUAAAAAGAGCCGAAUAGCAGCGCGGGAGCCGGGAGGGGCGGGGAUAUAUUUCGGGGGGCUCCAGGGUGAGUAAGGGGAGCUGGCUAAAGGGGGAGCCCUCGGGGGUAAGGGGAUGGGAUGCCAGACGUUCUUGAGCAGCCUCAAGCUUUUGAGACCGCCGAAGAGGUAGCGGUUCCGAGCCAACCGGACGGAGCCGGAGGGGACUUCAACGACGCUGUGGGAGAAGGGGCAGGGUACGAGCGGAAGGAGGACCUUAGUGAUGUAGUAGUCUAGGUUAAAGCAAAGGCGGUAGAAGGUUGAGGACGUUGAUUGGGGCUAAUAGGCCUCACGCUUCGAACGAUGAUAGUCAGCAAUCUCAAACUUCCUGUAGUGGUUCAGUUCAGUGUAAACUAGUAUACAAACUCCAUAAAAGGCCGUCCUCAUUCCAGAUGCAAGAGCCACAACGAGAACCUCAGUCUACCUGAGUAGAUGGAAGCAACGAAGGCGUCAUCAAA